rnacentral:rRNA from 1 species
CGUUUCUCCGCCGGGCGACCGGCGCACGGGUGAGUAACACGUAUGCAACCUGCCCCUGUCAGGGGGACAACCCGCCGAAAGGCGGGCUAAACCCGCGUACAUGCCACCGGGGCAUCCCGGAGGCAGGAAAGGCUUCGGCCCGGACAGGGAUGGGCAUGCGGCGCAUUAGGCAGUAGGCGGGGUAACGGCCCACCUAACCGACGAUGCGUAGGGGUUCUGAGAGGAAGGUCCCCCACACUGGUACUGAGACACGGACCAGACUCCUACGGAAGGCAGCAG